AUGGGGUUAUCUUGUAUCUCGGCCGGAUCGAAGCACUAUAUAUAUGAUAUAUGAGAUAUAUUUUCUUUUUCGAUAAAUCUUUAUCAAUUAGCGUGUCGAAUUGCGCUUCCAAUAUUUGCGCAAAUAUGUCAUCAAAAUUGGGUCACAAUAGCAUACCAUACCAAUAAGAAACAUUCGAAAUCUUCUACGUGCUUGGAUGCCGAAAAUAACUGUUCUUCUUUGCCUGACAUUUUCGAUAUAAUACCCUGCACCAACUCCAACAGGACGUUUCUGUUUAUAUUAUGUGGUACUUUCUGUUUUCCCCAUGUGAACAAAUAUGUCAUCCAAAAUGGGUCACAAUACCAGACUGCUCCAAUUGGCUAAAAAUAAAAAAAUCUCCUAUCGCGAGAAUAUUCGAUAUAUGCCCCUAACUCCAACAGGGCAUUUUUAUUAUGCGAAAGUAUUUACUUGGGUAUUUAAUUUGUACCCUUUAAAGGGUAAAAACGGUUUAAGCUGCAAUUACGACUUACAUGCAUACAUGCACAAAAGCAUAUUGCACACAAGCACUCACACAUACAUUUAUAGACAAAAGCGGUCAGUGGCUUUGUCCACUUUGGCAUGCGAUCUCUGGUUUUUAUCUCUUAUAUGUACACACAACAUACAUACAUACAUACAUAUGUUCAUACAUAUAUGUGCGUGCAUUUGUGCGUGUGUGCUUUCAGAAAUGCUGCACGUGCGUGCUUUGAUAUAUGCGAGUGCUUACACUUUCUCAUUCGUCAACUGAAAGUGACAAUAAGCAGACGCUACAGCGCUGUCUCAGUCGCAGUCGCAGUCAACGCAGAUGCUGACAUUUGUGACGACUGGUUUAUUUUUGUUUCAGCUUCCAGCUCCUUUGACUUGCCGUUGGCAUCAGACUCUGCUGCCUCCACGUUCGACGAUUUCAUUUGUGAUUUGUUGUUGUAAAUGUAAUGCACACACAAUAAAACAGUCGAAAACGAAUACAAAACACACAAAACAAACAAAUGCCUAAUCUCAAGUUCAAUUUACGGCUUG